CAUUAUUGAGAUUUAAACUAACCAUUGUGGGAUUUCAUUUCAGUACAGUGUGACAGACGGAAAACAUAAUAAUAAAAUUCUGUUGGUGUCAGCACGUAUCGGAAAAAUUUCAUUACUAGUUAGCGAAGAAUUUCAUUUUUUAGUUUAAUUCAAUAGUAAUUUCGUUUUUAUCAGCCAUGGAAAGAUUCGGUAAUGGUUUCGUUUUCGUUCAAUUCAGUAAAAGAUGGCCAGAAGCAGAACAUAUUUCGAAGAUUCAUCCGAUUAUCAUUGCGAAAUCGCAGCAGGAACCUUGUGAGACAAGAAGCAGUCUUGCGGCCAAAGUACCUUCACAAUCUUAUUUGGAUCAUUGAGUAACACCCGACGCAUAUUUUGCCAUACGAGAGGUUCCAGAGAAUUUAGUGUCCUGAAUCCUGAAGGAGCCAACCAAUGGAAGCAUUGACAAUGUGUUGAGUGGUCAAAACCGAAAACCCAAUCAUGUCUGUGAACUGUGUUGUUAUAAUUGCAAUAAAUAAAUAUUCUCUAAAAACAUA